rnacentral:lncRNA from 1 species
GCGGGGAGAGGAGGGUGGCGGUGGCGGCUGCUUCUCCAGCCCAUAGACUGUUGCCGCGGUGCGACCCUGGCCCUUAGAGCCAACCCUUAUCCCAAAGUUGUGGUGUUGGCUCUGAGUUUCCAGGGAGAGAAGAAACCAGCUCGGGUUUCAUCUUCUUACAACCAUCAUUGGGCACAAGAGACUCAUUGUUGUUCACACACACACACACACACACACAUACACACACACACACACACACACACACACACACACAGACCCAUUGUUAGCUCUACAGCAGUGAUUCCAGUACCCCUUCAUGUACCCCUACUCCUGCACACUUACAAUGUAGCCCUACAGUGAAUUUUACCUAUCAUGUUGAGGAAAAAUACAUUUUAAUAAUAAUAACUAGAAUAUUUGCAUUGUUAGGGUGCAGGUGUUGGCCCGCGUCGCACUGCAUUAGCUUAUCAAUGGCAUUAGCUAACAUUAGCUUCAUCUAGCAUUAGUAUUAGCCUAGCAAUUGCAAUAACCUAACAAUAGCAUUAACCGAGCAUCAACAUUAACAUUAGCAUACCAAUACCAUGAGCCUAGCAUUAAUACUGACCUUGUAUUAGCUUUAAUCUAGCAUUAUCAUUAACCUAGCAUUAGCCUAGCAUUAGCAAUAACCUAGCAUUAGCAAUAACCUAGCAUUAACAAUGACCUCGCAUGGACUUUAACCUAGCAUUAGCAUUAGCCUAGCAUUAGCAAUAACCUAGCAUUUAUAUAGUAGCAGCCUAGCAUUAACAUUGACCUUGCAUGAACUUUAACCCAGCAUUACCAUUAGCCUAACAAUAACAUUAGCAUUAACCGAGCAUUAGCCUAACAAUAACAGUAACCUAGCAUUAGCAUAGCAUUAGCUUUACCCUAGCAUUAGCAUUAACCUAGCAAUAGCUUUAGCCUAGCAUUAGGACAUUAACAUUACCUGCCGUAUUUAUAUCCUAGUUUUGUUGUCAGUGUUUUUCAUUCACAUACCCCCAUGAUAAUUUGCGUACCCCUGGGGGUACCCGUACCCCACUUUGGGAAUUUAGGAUCUAGAGCACAUAGACUGGAGAGGUGGCUGAAGUACUAGUGUUCAGUACUCAAGUAAAAGUAUAGAUAAGUGAAGAAAAAAUGACUAGUAAAAAUAUUGAAAUUACUCCGUUACUUGAGUAAAAGUAAAGUAUUAGGUCUACAUACGACUAAAUGUAUUUAAAUACUAAAGUAAAACAAAUGUUCCUUCAAUAACAAGACACGGUUUUUGAAACAGCAAAUUUUAUAUCUUUUAUUCUUUAACAACUUGUAGAAAACUGG